rnacentral:rRNA from 1 species
AUUGAACGCUGGCGGAAUGCUUUACACAUGCAAGUCGAACGGCAGCACGGACUUCGGUCUGGUGGCGAAUGGCGAACGGGUGAGUAAUACAUCGGAACGUGCCCAGUCGUGGGGGAUAACGUAGCGAAAGCUACGCUAAUACCGCAUACGAUCUAAGGAUGAAAGCGGGGGACCGUAAGGCCUCGCGCGAUUGGAGCGGCCGAUGGCAGAUUAGGUAGUUGGUGGGGUAAAGGCUCACCAAGCCGACGAUCUGUAGCUGGUCUGAGAGGACGACCAGCCACACUGGGACUGAGACACGGCCCAGACUCCUACGGGAGGCAGCAGUGGGGAAUGUUGGACAAUGGGCGCAAGCCUGAUCCAGCCAUUCCGCGUGCAGGAUGGAGGCCCUCGGGUUGUAAACUGCUUUUGUACGGAACGAAAAGGCUCUUAUUAAUACUAGGAGUCCAUGACGGUACCGUAAGAAUAAGCACCGGCUAACUACGUGCCAGCCGCCGCAGUAA